rnacentral:rRNA from 1 species
AGAGGUGGCAAGCGUUGUUCGGAAUUACUGGGCGUAAAGGGCGCGUAGGCGGUCACCUAAGUCGGACGUGAAAUCCCCAAGCUUAACUUGGGAACUGCAUCUGAUACUGGGUGACUUGAGUUCGGGAGAGGAAUGUGGAAUUCCAGGUGUAGCGGUGAAAUGCGUAGAUAUCUGGAGGAACACCGGUGGCGAAGGCGGCAUUCUGGACCGAAACUGACGCUGAGGCGCGAAAGCCAGGGGAGCAAACGGGAUUAGAUACCCCGGUAGUCCUGGCCCUAAACGAUGAGUGCUUGGUGUGGCGGGUAUCGAUCCCUGCCGUGCCGAAGCUAACGCAUUAAGCACUCCGCCUGGGGAGUACGGUCGCAAGGCUG